GUUGGCGGCGUGGAUUAGGCAUGCAAGUCGAGCGGGAUUCUAUUUUUUCAAUUCUUCGGAAGAGAAGUUAUAGAUGAGAGCGGCGAACGGGUUAGUAAUAAAUGGGUAAUUUGCCUCUUUGUUCGGAAUAGCCACCGGAAACGGUGAUUAAUGCCGGAUGUGUUCGGGAACUGCAUAGUUCCUUAUAUAAAGGCGGGGAUUCUUCGGAACCUGUCGCAAAGAGAUAAGCCCAUUUCCUAUCAGCUUGUUGGUGAGGUAAUGGCUCACCAAGGCUUACGGGUAGUUGGUCUGAGAGGAUGAUCAGCAACACUGGGACUGAGACACUGCCCAGACUCCUACGGGAGGC
rnacentral:rRNA from 1 species